UUGAGUUAACUUGUAAAGAUUAUCUUGAUAGACAAAACGUGUAAGUGUCAUAACCCUUUGUUAAACACAGAGCUUAUUUUCUGUGAUUUUCCAAAAGUCUAUGGGAAAAAUGAAUAGGCUUUCAGUCGAGGGAACCUGUGCGCUGCUAACUUCCGGGUUGGCCUACAAAAACGCGUCAUCCCUGGGGCACUCUAUGGAGAACGAGAUGGAAGAAAUGCUGUGCGUGUUAAUACUGUAAAUAAAUGAUUUAGUGCGGAUUAUAGACAUUGUGAUAAAUCAUCUAUAGAGCACUCAUAUUGUGAGCAGUUUAGUAUUCUCAGAUGUGAUGGGCGGCCGAUGUUGUGUGAUCGCUUCAGAGAUAUGUGGAAUUGUAUGGUGAAUACCAUUGCGUGCGUCAUUGCAGACUAACCACGUUCAUCCACGUUUGUCCAGCUGACGGCGCUUUGUACAUAUCACACACACCCAUCACGCACACAGAACACCGCAGCACACGAAGCCUCUGUUAAUAUUGCAUCACAUUAAGCCUCGUAGGACCAGAUGAGGAUACAUACUGAAAUAUAACCACCUGUUCGGGCACCAAUGUGAUGGCAUCACGUGUGAGGAUCGACGAUUGAGAAGAUCUGCACCCUCCUUUCAUUAAGUGGACUUUCUGGAACACUUGGGACUUGCAGAGACUGAGUACUCCUAUUUUCACAACUUCAUUGCCUGAUCUCACCAUCAUAAUUGUAUCUUUUGAGUCAAAGCACAUUGUUAUAUUGUUUGGCUAAUUUGCGUAGGCCUACGCUGUUUGAUUUGAGACAUAUUUAUGUUUGUUAACAUUUUGAAUCAUUCAUUCUUUUAUUUGAUCAAUCAAUACAAUCAGUGAAUCUGA